UACGGGGGGGGCAAGCGUUGUUCGGAAUUACUGGGCGUAAAGGGCUCGUAGGUGGCCAACUAAGUCAGACGUGAAAUCCCUCGGCUUAACCGGGGAACUGCGUCUGAUACUGGAUGGCUUGAGUUCGGGAGAGGGAUGCGGAAUUCCAGGUGUAGCGGUGAAAUGCGUAGAUAUCUGGAGGAACACCUGUGGUGUAGACAGCUUACUGGACCACUUCUGACGCUGAGACACGAAAGCGUGGGUAGCAAACAGG
rnacentral:rRNA from 1 species